GGAGUUUGGGCCGUGUCUCAGUCCCAAUGUGGCCGUUCGCCCUCUCAGGUCGGCUAUGCAUCGCUGCCUUGGUGGGCCGUUACCCCGCCAACUAGCUAAUGCACCGCAGGUCCAUCCAUGUCCAGAGCUUUGAGGCUCCUUUAACAGGGGGAAGAUGCCUCCCUCCUGCCUAUCCGGUUUUAGUUUCCGUUUCCAGAAAUUAUCCCGGGUACAUGGCCAGGUUACCUACGUGUUACUCACCCGUUCGCCACUGAAACCCGAAGGUUUCCGUUCGACUUGCAUGUAUUAGGCAUGCCGCCAGCGUUCAUC
rnacentral:rRNA from 1 species